AUUGAACGCUGGCGGCAGGCCUAACACAUGCAAGUCGAACGAGUGGCGGACGGGUGAGUAAUGUCUGGGAAACUGCCCGAUGGCGGGGGAUAACCACUGGAAACGGUAGCCAACCCCGCACACCAUCGGAUGUGCCUAUAUGGGAUUAGCUAGUGGGUGGGGUAAUGGCUCACCUAGGCGACGAGCCCGAGCCGGUCUGAGAGGAUGACCAGCCCAACUGGAACUGAGACACGGUCCAGACUCCUACGGGAGGCAGCAGUGGGGAAUAUUGCACAAUGGGCGCAAGCCUGAUGCAGCCAUGCCGCGUGUAUGAAGAAGGCCUUCGGGUUGUAAAGUACUUUCAGCGAGGAGGCGUUACUCGCAGAAGAAGCACCGGCUAACUCCGUGCCAGCAGCCGCGGUAAUUC
rnacentral:rRNA from 1 species